CUUUACUGACGCUAAAGCUCGAAGGUGCGGGUAUCGAACAGGAUUAGAUACCCUGGUAGUCCGCACGGUAAACGAUGGAUGCCCGCUGUUUGCGAUAUACUGUGAGCGGCCAAGAGAAAUCGUUAAGCAUCCCACCUGGGGAGUACGCCGGCAACGGUGAAACUCAAAGGAAUUGACGGGGGCCCGCACAAGCGGAGGAACAUGUGGUUUAAUUCGAUGAUACGCGAGGAACCUUACCCGGGCUUGAACUGCAGCGGAAGGAUAGAGAGAUCUUGACGCCCUUCGGGGCCGCUGUGGAGGUGCUGCAUGGUUGUCGUCAGCUCGUGCCGUGAGGUGUCGGCUUAAGUGCCAUAACGAGCGCAACCCUUUUCUUCAGUUGCCAUCAGGUGAUGCUGGGCACUCUGGAGACACUGCCACCGUAAGGUGUGAGGAAGGUGGGGAUGACGUCAAAUCAGCACGGCCCUUACGUCCGGGGCUACACACGUGUUACAAUGGGUGGUACAGAGAGUCGGUCGUCUGCAAAUGCGAUCCAAUCCUUAAAGCCAUCCUCAGUUCGGAUUGGGGUCUGCAACCCGACCCCAUGAAGCUGGAUUCGCUAGU
rnacentral:rRNA from 1 species